rnacentral:rRNA from 1 species
UCAGGAGUGAACGCUAGCGACAGGCUAACACAUGCGAAGUCGGGGGCGAGCAUAAAGUAAGACAAUACUUGGUGGCGACCGGCGCACGGGUGAGUAACGCGUAUGCAACCUACCUAUCAGAGGGGAAUAACCCGGCGAAAGUCGGACUAAUACCGCAUAAAACAGGGGCACCGCAUGGUGAUAUUUGUUAAAGAAAUUCGCUGAUAGAUGGGCAUGCGUUCCAUUAGGUAGUUGGUGAGGUAACGGCUCACCAAGCCGACGAUGGAUAGGGGAACUGAGAGGUUGGUCCCCCACACUGGUACUGAGACACGGACCAGACUCCUACGGGAGGCAGCAGUGAGGAAUAUUGGUCAAUGGGCGGGAGCCUGAACCAGCCAAGUCGCGUGAAGGAAGAAGGAUCUAUGGUUCGUAAACUUCUUUUGCAGGGGAAUAAAGUGCAGGACGUGUCCUGUUUUGUAUGUACCCUGAGAAUAAGGAUCGGCUAACUCCGUGCCAGCCGCCGC